rnacentral:misc_RNA from 1 species
AAGACUAUAGACCUGCGGAGUACCUGCGGAGGGAUCAUUAAUGAAAUCAUAUUCUCCUUUGGAGUUUCUUCUAGCUGAUGCGUCUUUUGGCUGCACGCUGUUGUCACUCUUUAGGGGUUAUAUUUCCACAAACCCUUCUGUGCAUAUUGGGAGGCUUUAUUGUCCUCUCCUAAUUCAUAUACUCUAAUGUUUAAUCAUGUCAUACAAUGUUAAAUACAUUAAACAACUUUCAACAAUGGA